rnacentral:rRNA from 1 species
UACGUAGGGGGCAAGCGUUGUCCGGAAUCAUUGGGCGUAAAGAGCGCGUAGGCGGCCCAGUAAGUCCGCUCUGAAAGUCAGGGGCUCAACCCCUGGAUGCCGGUGGAUACUGUCGGGCUCGAGUCCGGAAGAGGCGAGUGGAAUUCCUGGUGUAGCGGUGAAAUGCGCAGAUAUCAGGAGGAACACCGAUGGCGAAGGCAGGUCUCUGGGCUGACACUGACGCUCAUGCACGAAAGCGUGGGGAGCAAACAGG